UACGUAGGGAGCAAGCGUUGUCCGGAAUCAUUGGGCGUAAAGCGCGCGUAGGCGGUCAGGUAAGUCCGGUGUGAAAGUCAAAGGCUCAACCUUUGAAUGCCGCUGGAUACUGCUUGACUUGAGUCCGGAAGGGGCGAGUGGAAUCCCUGGUGUAGCGGUGAAAUGCGCAGAUAUCAGGAGGAACACCAAUGGCGAAGGCAGCUCGCUGGAACGGUACUGACGCUGAGGCGCGAAAGCGUGGGGAGCGAACAGG
rnacentral:rRNA from 1 species